GCUAAACUCAGCUGCAAACAAGAAUCUGUUGCUGCCUGAAAAUGAUGAUCUAUGAAAAACAAAUUAGCAGUCUGUCCCAGUUCAUGUAUGUAAUGAGACAUCUUUGUUUCUGAUAAACUGGAAAUCACUACAGAAACCCAUGUAAGUGGCUACCAUGUGAGCUGGCUACCUGUUCUAAUUCAGUGAGAUCAGAAGAGAUUUGAAGGUUAAGAGUAAAAGAGUACAGAAAAAAAUUCCGUUGAUUUAUACAUGAAGAUGGCCCUAACAGCUGCAUUAUCACUUGAGAGUGCAGCUGUUAUUAUCCCUGAGGUUAAACAUGAUGGAAUCCUCAAAGAAAUAUUUCAAAGCCUGUCCAUACACAUUGACAAGGAGCUGUAGAAACAAGGAAGCAGAAUUCUUAAGGUCAUGUAACUAACUG